AGAAAUGACUAAAGAAUGAUCUUUACAUUAGUUCCUAAUGCUUGUAAAAUUCCCUGUAUACUGCCCUUGGUAACUGAUGACACAACAGCGUUAACAGCCAAUCAGAAAACCAAACGAAAACAAAUACAGUCAGAUUCCAGUUUAGUGUGGGGUUUUCCACACCCACAGCUUUCAGUUCCUCCUGUGUCUAGUCGACCUUACAGCUGCAACCAGUUCUGUGUCACUGUGGCACCGACUUUCACUGCAGUUUUCGGUUCUUUGUCAAACCUUGGUACUUUGGUUGUGAAGAUGACAGAGGCAGACCCCCAGACCCAGACUCUGAUCCAGGCUCAGAGCCAGGAAACAGCAAUCAAUGUAGGAGCUCCAGAGCACAGUGGGCGCUCCACUCGUGCCUAUAAGGUUGCAGGUGUGACUCUGUUGGCCUGUACCCUGAUCCUGAGCCAGGCUUUAUUGGCCUACUUCCUCUUCAGUCAGAAAGAUGACAUCAAAUCUCUGAAGGACCAGAACAACAAGCUGAGUGUAGAGCUGAGCAAGCCCAGAUCUGCUGGUCCUGGUACAAUGCAGAUUCCCAAAUCCAUGAACAUCCUGCCCACACUGUUGGAGACCUCUGGUGAUGAGGAGGAUUCCACAGGAGGCCCAGUCAAACCAGGUCCUCUGACCCAGUGUCAGCAGGAGGCUGCUGGUUUGAAGCCCGUGCAGGUCCCGGGUUUUUACCCUAACUGUGACGAGCAGGGUCUGUACCAGAGCCAGCAGUGCUACAUGGAGCAGUGCUGGUGUGUGGAUCCGGCCAGUGGGCAGCAGAUUCCUGGGACCCUCGGCACUGGGCCAGUCAUGUGUACCACAGCUGUUCACGCUGGUGGCAUGGAGAGACUCCUGUCUGUUCCAGAUGUUACUGAAUAACAGUGACAGCGAUCAGCCAAUGCUCGUCCUCCUUAUCAAUAUAUAAAUAUAUCCUGAUUUAUCACCUAAUCAAACCAGGUCUUUCUGACGUCUUUAUAUUGCUUCAGCCAAAGAUGAAAAUCUCUUGUUGGUAUUUAAUAAAUUGGUCUAUUUUAUUGGAGAAUUGAAAGAGUAAUUUGCUGUGAUGGACUAGUUAAUGAAUCAGUGUGUGAUAACCAUCAUUUCUAGGUAUGAAAAUAUUGAAUAUUGUUUUACGCUGUGUGGAGACGAUAAGGAGGAAAACUGCAGUUGUAUUUUACUGACAGCUAUCAGAGCAAUAAAAAAUUAAACAUA